GCUGUGCGGGCACGGCGCCGGCGCCGUAGUGCUGCAGCAUGCGGAUGGCCGUGUUGUAGGCGCGGGCAAUGCCGUAGCAGCGCGCGGCGAGGUAGGCCGGGUCGUUCUGGGUCGCCGUCGGGAGGUCGCCCAUGAGCUCCCCGGCGAGCCGGAAAGCCUCGCCGAUCUGCGACACCACGUCGUCCAUCCCUCCCAGCUGGUCACCGUGCAGGGUCGCGAUGCCUUUGCCUUCACGACGGCCGGCGAGUAGCGGUGCAAACGGAGGACCGGCUGAGUGCGGUGCAAGGACGUGCAUGAAAUUGCGCUGAGAAUUUCGUGCGACG
rnacentral:lncRNA from 1 species